rnacentral:rRNA from 1 species
UACAGAGGUCUCAAGCGUUGUUCGGAAUCACUGGGCGUAAAGGGUGCGUAGGCUGCGUGGUAAGUCAGAUGUGAAAUCCGGAGGCUCAACCUCCGAAAUGCAUCCGAUACUGCCGUGCUAGAGAUCUGGAGGGGGACUUGGAAUUCUCGGUGUAGCAGUGAAAUGCGUAGAUAUCGAGAAGAACGCUUGUGGCGAAGGCGAAGUCCUGGACGGAAUCUGACGCUGAGGCACGAAGGCUAGGGGAG